UACGAAGGGGGCUAGCGUUGCUCGGAAUCACUGGGCGUAAAGCGCACGUAGGCGGCUUCUCAAGUCAGGGGUGAAAUCCCGGAGCUCAACUCCAGAACUGCCUUUGAUACUGAGGGGCUCGAGUCCGGGAGAGGUGAGUGGAACUGCGAGUGUAGAGGUGAAAUUCGUAGAUAUUCGCAAGAACACCAGUGGCGAAGGCGGCUCACUGGCCCGGUACUGACGCUGAGGUGCGAAAGCGUGGGGAGCAAACAGG
rnacentral:rRNA from 1 species